rnacentral:rRNA from 1 species
CUUUUGAUUAUAAUUUAAGGUNUGACCYGCCCMMNGAGUUUUAAAANNGCCGCGGUAUUUUGACCGUGCCAAGGUNGCNUAAUCAUUAGUUUUUUAAUUGAAAGCUGGAAUGAAAGGUUGGAUGAGAAAAUAUCUGUCUCUAUUUAAAUUUUUUAGAACUUUAUUUUUAAGUAAAAAAGCUUAAAUGUAAAUAGAAAACGAGAAGACCCUAUAGAGUUUUAUUUAUAUUUUAUAAAGAGUUUAUANAAAUAAUUUAUUUUUUAUAAGUAAUAAAUUUAAUUGGGGUGAUUGAAAAAUUUAAUAAACUUUUUUUUUAUUGAAACAUUAAUUUAUGACUAUUUGAUCCUUAUAUAAAGAUUAAAAGAAAAAAUUACCUUAGGGAUAACAGCGUAAUUUUUUUAGAGAGUUCAAAUCGAAAAAAAAGAUUGCGACCUCGAUGUUGGAUUAAAAUANAAUUUUGGKGUAGAAGCUAAAAUAUUUGG